rnacentral:lncRNA from 1 species
CAGAGGUAGGGCCACACUGGACUUGUGGGAUACAACAGGGACAGAUGUGGGUGACUUAAGGGACUCAUGAGACCUGAAGAAAGGAGGCCAGGGUAUGAGUCCUCAUGUGCCUGCCCUGCCACCCGUCAGACAUCUGUGCCUAGACUCAGAGGCAGCUGCUAAGUAACAACUGUCUGAGAGCUCAGGAAACUAAAGACUGGAACAUUAUCCCCCGGAUUUUUCAUGCUUUUGGAACCGUGUAUGAACAUCCUGACAGGCUUUGAGGAAAUGCAACAAAAAGCAGCUGGCUCAGACUCUGAAGGAGAGAAAGCCGCUCUUCCCCAGCCCAAUUUAUAACUGGUCCGCCACCUACAGCACCACGCUUCCAUUUUCCUAUCUGUAAGACGAAGUCACUGCCUGGCGUGUCACGAUUUAACCACACGUACAGAGUUUGGG